rnacentral:rRNA from 1 species
CCUACGGGUGGCAGCAGUGAGGAAUAUUGGUCAAUGGACGCAAGCCUGACCCAGCAACGCCGCGUGAAGGAAGAAGGCUUUCGGGUUGUAAACUUCUUUUAAGGGGGAAGAGCAGAAGACGGUACCCCUUGAAUAAGCCACGGCUAACUACGUGCCAGCAGCCGCGGUAAUACGUAGGUGGCAAGCGUUGUCCGGAUUUACUGGGUGUAAAGGGCGUGCAGCCGGAGAGACAAGUCAGAUGUGAAAUCCACGGGCUCAACCCGUGAACUGCAUUUGAAACUGUUUCCCUUGAGUGUCGGAGAGGUAAUCGGAAUUCCUUGUGUAGCGGUGAAAUGCGUAGAUAUAAGGAAGAACACCAGUGGCGAAGGCGGAUUACUGGACGAUAACUGACGGUGAGGCGCGAAAGCGUGGGGAGCAAACAGGAUUAGAUACCCCUGUAGUC